CGGGGUGCACCAGGCGCGAAAACUUUACAAUGCCGGCAACGGCGAUAAGGGAACCUCGAGUGCCAGGUUACAAAUCUGGCUGUCGUGAUGCCUAAAAAGCAUUGCAUAGCAAGGGCCGGGCAAGACCGGUGCCAGCCGCCGCGGUAACACCGGCGGCUCGAGUGGUAACCGUUAUUAUUGGGUCUAAAGGGUCUGUAGCCGGCCGGAUAAGUCUCUUGGGAAAUCUGGCGGCUUAACUGUCAGGCUUUCAGGAGAUACUGUCUGGCUCGAGGCCGGGAGAGGUGAGAGGUACUUCAGGGGUAGGGGUGAAAUCUUGUAAUCCUUGAAGGACCACCAGUGGCGAAGGCGUCUCACCAGAACGGACCUGACGGCAAGGGACGAAAGCUAGGGGCACGAACCGGAUUAGAUACCCGGGUAGUCCUAGCCGUAAACGAUACUCGCUAGGUGUCGGCCACGGUGCGACCGUGGUCGGUGCCGUAGGGAAGCCGUGCAGCGAGCCACCUGGGAAGUACGGCCGCAAGGCUGAAACUUAAAGGAAUUGGCGGGGGAGCAC
rnacentral:rRNA from 1 species